AACGAACGCUGGCGGCAGGCUUAACACAUGCAAGUCGAGCGCCCCGCAAGGGGAGCGGCAGACGGGUGAGUAACGCGUGGGAAUCUACCCAUCUCUACGGAAUAACGCAUGGAAACGUGUGCUAAUACCGUAUACGUCCUUCGGGAGAAAGAUUUAUCGGAGAUGGAUGAGCCCGCGUUGGAGUGGCUAGUUGGUGGGGUAAAGGCCUACCAAGGCGACGAUCCAUAGCUGGUCUGAGAGGAUGAUCAGCCCCACUGGGACUGAGACACGGCACAGACUCCUACGGGAGGCAGCAGUGGGGAAUAUUGGACAAUGGGCGCAAGCCUGAUCCAGCCAUGCCGCGUGAGUGACGAAGGCCCUAGGGUUGUAAAGCUCUUUCACCGGUGAAGAUAAUGACGGUAACCGGAGAAGAAGCCCCGGCUAACUUCGUGCCAGCCGCCGCCGUAACAC
rnacentral:rRNA from 1 species